GUGUGUGUGUGUGUGUGUGUGUGUGUGUGUGUGUGUGUGCGUGUGUGUGUGUGUGUACACACGCACACACAUACGUUUACACCUGC
ensembl:miRNA Gm23810 predicted gene, 23810